UACGUAGGGGGCAAGCGUUGUCCGGAUUUAUUGGGCGUAAAGAGCGUGUAGGCGGCCAGGUAGGUCUGCUGUGAAAACUCGAGGCUUAACCUCGAGCUGUCGGCGGAAACCAUCUGGCUAGAGUCCGGAAGAGGAGAAUGGAAUUCCCGGUGUAGCGGUGAAAUGCGUAGAUAUCGAGAGGAACACCUGCGGCGAAGGCGGGUUGCUGGGCUGCAACUGACACUGAUGAACGAAAGCCAGGGGAGCAAACGGG
rnacentral:rRNA from 1 species